GACGAACGCUGGCGGCGUGCUUAACACAUGCAAGUCGAACGGAAAGGCCCUGUUUGCAGGGUACUCGAGUGGCGAACGGGUGAGUAACACGUGGGUGAUCUGCCCUGCACUUCGGGAUAAGCCUGGGAAACUGGGUCUAAUACCGGAUAGGAGCCAUUUUUAGUGUGAUGGUUGGAAAGUUUUUUCGGUGUAGGAUGAGCUCGCGGCCUAUCAGCUUGUUGGUGGGGUAAUGGCCUACCAAGGCGGCGACGGGUAGCCGGCCUGAGAGGGUGGACGGCCACAUUGGGACUGAGAUACGGCCCAGACUCCUACGGGAGGCAGCAGUGGGGAAUAUUGCACAAUGGGCGCAAGCCUGAUGCAGCGACGCCGCGUGGGGGAGGACGGCCUUCGGGUUGUAAACUCCUUUCGCUAGGGACGAAGCUUUUUGUGACGGUACCUAGAUAAGAAGCACCGGCUAACUACGUG
rnacentral:rRNA from 1 species